rnacentral:rRNA from 1 species
UACGUAGGGGGCAAGCGUUGUCCGGAAUCAUUGGGCGUAAAGCGCGUGUAGGCGGCCCGAUAAGUCCGCUGUGAAAGUCCAGGGCUCAACCCUGGAAUGCCGGUGGAUACUGUCGGGCUCGAGUCCGGAAGAGGCGAGUGGAAUUCCUGGUGUAGCGGUGAAAUGCGCAGAUAUCAGGAGGAACACCAAUGGCGAAGGCAGCUCGCUGGGACGGUACUGACGCUGAGGUGCGAAAGCGUGGGGAGCAAACAGG